GGUCACGGUCAGGCUGAGUAAGUGUAUAGGCUGAGCUUGUGCGAGGCUUAAUCCGAAUCAGUGCUUUUGCUGCCUGCUGUUAGGGCGGUUGAGGCUGUGCUGACUCGCAUGUAGAGAGCAUUGAAGGAAAUCGGUGCUUCUGUACGUCAGGGUUGAUUGUCACCCGCUGUUGUACUCACGGUCUUAUGCAUGACGUAUCCCUGCAGACAUGUCUGUGAGUGUGAGGGAGAGAGCUAGAAAUGAGACUCCAGCCCAGCAGCUGAAUUAACACACUGAGUCGGUGCUCUGAUGAGGUGCUCCUGAAUGGGGCUGAUGGAAGCUGAAAUUGGGUUCCUCGUCUCUUCCUCACGUAGCUCACCUCAAUGAAACCUCUGUAUCUGGUUCACUGCCUCUGUUUCCUGUGCAGGUUUCCCAAAGUUUUAGGAUGCUCAGACUGUGGGAGUGGGGGUCAUACAAAGAGGGUAUCGAAGGAUGCAUGCUAAUGGUAUGCUUUUCUAUGGGACUAAAGAGCCGAAGUAUAACUUCUUGUUUUUAGGAUGGUGAAGUGAUGAAAUAAAUUCUCUAGAGAGAAUUUGAGACAGGUGGUUAACUAAAACAUAUAGUCUUAGUGCACUACUAAGUCAAAGGUCCAUGAUGCAUUUUAAAUGAAUAAAUGGGGAUUUUCAUAGAAUCAUGGAAUCACCAAGGUUGGAAAAGACCUACACCAUCGUUCAGUCCAACCAUCCACCUAUCACCAACAGUUCUUAUUAAACCAUGUCGGUGUUUCAGUAAACAUCUGUUUGAUUCUUGAAUCAUAGAAUCAUAGAAUAUCUUGAGUUGGAAGGGACACACAAGGAUCACCAACUCCUGGCUCCACACAGCGCCAUGCAAAAAUGAGUCCAUGUGUCUGGCAUCAUUGUCCAGAUGCUUCUUGAACUUUGGCAAGCUUGGUUCUGGGAGGUUAUAUCUAAUUCUAUGACAAGAAGUUAGAAGGUCUUCUGAUAAAUUGGAAAUUUGAUAAAUUGGGGUUCACUGACCAAUCAUAGGCACAGCUAAAGGAUGGGAAGCUUUGCCUCCUUGUUGACUUAGCAAAGCAAAAAACAACAUAAGGGUAUAAUUCAGUCACAAUCUGCGUACUUAUGAGAUCACAUUCCUGUGAUUGUGAUUUAGAACUAAUGUAAUUGACGUUACCUGGAAACAAUAUUUAACAUGCAGGUAGCUUCUACAACUAUCUACUGAAGAGACACAGUUAAUUCUUCACUAUUGUGGUGUACCUAAUCUAAACAGCAUUUCUUUUUCUCCUGCCUCAAAGAGUUGUUCGUGUUUAAGCAGAGAAUAUUUGCAAGAUCAAAACUUCUUCAUCACCAGAAGUUCCAGUUAGUUCUUGUGGAGAUGGCUUGGAGAGCCUCAGAAAGAGGAGUAUGAUUCAAGGUGGGAGGGGGACGUGAGGAGAGAUGCACGUGAGGUGGCAUUUUUCAGCAGCAGUGAUUUGAGAAAGAUUGCUGAUGGCCUUCUUCCUCCACGCUGGAAGAAGCAGGAUGAGAAGUGUAAGGACUUGUGCUACUCCUGAAUAAUACAAAGAGAUCUCCCGAAGUCUAGUGACAGAUUUAUUUCCUCCUCCUUCCUGAGAUGGACCUGCUCUAAGCUUCAUGUGCAGUUGAAGUGGAGAAGUACUGGUUAACUGUUUUGCUAAUAUUCCUGCGUUCAGUGUUGACAGGACUUGAUGCUGUCUUACGUUCUAGAAGGAUAAUGGCUCAACAAACAAUCCUGUUGUCACAGAGGCAUAAAUAGUUCAGCAAGAAAUGUAACAAAGACGCUCUGAUACUGCAGAAACAAUAAGCAGCAGGGACAGUAGAACGUCUGAGGAAGAAAUAUCUUCUGUUGAGCCAAGCACCACCUGGAGAAUUAAAGAAAAUGUUUUAAAUUGAGAAAUGGCUUUUAAGUAGAUUUUCUGUGUUGUUGCUGCAGGUCUUGGGAGAAUGAAGAUCAUUGACUGAUGUGUUCUAUUAAUGUUCCUCAGUGUUGUCGAGGAACAUCUGUCCUGUGGUUUGACCAAGCGUUUAUAUCGAUUUUAAUUGCUUGAUCUGAAAGAAAAUGUUCCCGGUACAAAUUGGGGUAUUUAGCCUUUUUCCAGCAUGGUAGCCUCUGUGUGGUGAUGUUUUUUGAUUGGAGGGCUGAUACAUAAUAUCUGCAUCUUCUACUGAGCAGUCAAAGCACUGUACGUCAGGUUUAACUGAAGGAAGUUCUACCAUUAAUUUUCUGUUAUAUCCCUGUAGUGGAGUUUGCCGUUUCCAUUUUAUGGCUGGCUCUUUAUGCUGUGCCUCUGGAACCCAGUCUUACAGCCCAAAGAGAAAGAAAAAUCCAUGUAUUGUUCCAGUUGUCUUGACUGUUGCACAGUCAAUUCUGGCAAAGUGGUAUUAGGGUAAACCACUUCAGCCAGUGUAGUGAGAUCUGCAGGUGAUGUGCAAACUGCAGUUCUUUGUCACUUAGUCUCUUCCUCAGCAUGUACUAAUUAAAAAAAAAAAAAAGCAAUUCCACAAGCAUUGAAACUUCCUUCAUUGUAAGCUCAUGUCAGAGAUGCAUUACCUUUCUACACUUAUAGGUUAUCUGCCUUUCUGUCACAGUGCCUAAUGCAAGGUCAAAACUGAAAGAACAGAGGAAAAUGUAGUAAAACCUAGUACCACCCACCAAAGUGGUACAACCUGGUGCACAUAUACAGGAUUCUUUGCAAUCCUUACUCAGAUUCCUUACUUUUGUUUCCAUUCUUUAUACUUAUACUUUACUUAUGUGACCAGUUAAGUUAUAAAGCCAAGUGCAGCAUUUUCUUAACAGUGUUCUGUCUGGCAACACAGGAACAAAAAUUACAUUCUGAAUUUAGAUAUCUUUGGUGUAGUAUUGCUUUUCAUUUUUUUCUAGAGGAUAUUACCAGUUCUGAAUUAAGAGCAAAGUUAUGUACGUUAAAAAAUACUCAGUAUUUUAUAUGAUGGAAGUUUACUAGAAGAAGUUAAGUAAGCAGAUUGGAAACUACUAAAACAAAGCAGGGUAAUGCACCAGUAACGUGAGAAUCUUUAAUUGGAUCACAGCUUGUUUGUCCUGAUCUGCUAGAUCUGCAGCAAGCUUCCCUUACUCUGAGCUCAUCUGCAUACAGUCUCUGAGCACGUCUUCUUGGGGAUGUCAUGUCCUCCCUUUCUGUGGGCAUUCUGACUGUGGAAAAACAGUGGUUGUUUCUUAAGCAUAGGCAUGGCAUUAAGACAAACUAUGUGAAUGAAUCCAGCUGUAGCAUUUCAUGCUUCUUUUGCUGGCAUCAACAACAGGACUAGAUGUAUUGGUAGUCCUAGGUGGAAGAGUUGCUUAAGUAUCUACAGAGUAGAUGCAGAUGAUUGUAUUAUGCCUCUGGAGGCUGGAGAAAGAGUUGGAUUUUGUUAUAAUCCUGGUGUUCAAUGACUGAUGAACAUUUUGUUAUAGAUUCCUUGCGGUGUUCAUGUACCAGCAAAGGAAAACAUCACCAUUGUCCAAACAGCACAGAGAAUCAGAAGCUUAAUACUAAAAUUGCACUGAUAGCAGUUGAGUUGGCACAGAAAUUUGUAUUUUUAUGUUCAAUAAAUCAUCUGGUGAGUGUCAAUGACUGUAUUGGGCUUUAAUGAGCUUAGCAAUAGGGUAACUGAGUAUUCAGUGAAAUGCUAGGUAGCUCACGUAAGUACACACAGAAUUUGAACAGCAUAAAAUAUGUUCAAAAUAAGAAUACUUUCCCCCCCCCCCCACUCCCCCGAAAUUUAGGAAUAUCAAGUUGUUUAAUGUGUAUGAAAACUGUAAUCCAGUGAAACUCAGGGUUGUACUGAAAUUGCUAUAUUACGUUUAUUUUUCUGCUGCUGUAUUUGUAAUUUUAUUUCAGCUUCAAUAAAAUGGUAUCGUGCCUUUUA